AUGAAGGCACCGACUUGUGAAGAUAUUUCAAAGGGUAGAAGCGAAUGGGGGGACAAGUACCCACCAUUCGUUGGCCUAUCUCAUGAUGAACCGUCUAAGGAGAGUAUUGAGAUGUUCUAUACUAACAUGAUGCAGUGCCCCGAUACAGUGCUCAAAAGGAAAUGGGUGGAGCACUUCCAUCCAAUCCUGGCAGUGGCAUCUGGACAGGAAAUUAAGGAUGAACUCACUCCAGGUGGUGGUGUGUCGUUUAACCUCAUGCGAUGCAUAGUGCGCGCACUAGUGGUGAAAGAUAACAAAAUGUACAAAGGCUGGCUGGACCGCUGGAGAGGGCUCUUUGAUCCUAGAUUUGUGGAUGAGGUCUGUAAGGAAGAUGCUGAAAAGGACUGGGAUUACAUUUACAUCAUGAUGGACUCUAAGUUGUGGGUUACAAAAUUGAAUGGCUGA
rnacentral:rRNA from 1 species